rnacentral:piRNA from 1 species
UAAUAUUUAAAAUGUUUGGCAAGGUUAC